rnacentral:miRNA from 1 species
UCCACAUUCGGUCAAUGUUC